rnacentral:lncRNA from 1 species
CCUUCUUGCAAAUUCCCAGAGAGCAUGCUCAUGUUCCUGCCUGCAAGUAACAAAAGAAUAAGCACUUAGCUUAGAAUUCAAUGUAAAAAUGUCAAUAAAGAACAUGUAAAGCGCAUAAGUGCACCAUUAAUUAUUUCUCACUGGAGCGCUACACCGGAUGCAUGGCAUAGGAGGAAACUGUUAUUAUCAAAUGAUUCGGAUGUAUAUGGCUACAUCACAGAGUACUGUUGAAAUGCUAGCAGAAUAAAGAUUCCAUGGUAGAUUAAUUAUCAUUAAAAGUAUGAGGCCAAAUUAAUCGCCAAAAAAUUGGUGGGGCCCUGUAAUUUUGGGACAAUAGUUUUCAGAUAUUUCGAGUGCAUAUAUUCCAAAGAACAUGCAUCACUUUCUUGCUUUUAUUGUAUCACGAGUUGAUUGAACACAAAACUGAUAAAUAUUCUGGGGAAAAUUUCUUCUAGUUACAAUUGAAGCCUUGUGAAGUUAGCAACUCAUCUAGAGUGUCUGCCUAACAUCAAGAAAUAAGGAUGAGAAUGAGGAGCGAAUGAUUCAACCUGGGCAGAUAAAGCUCAUGCAUUCCAAAAUUGUUGCGGUGGACAGAGCAGCGCAACCACAACUCGAUCUCGUCCUCGUUGAAGUCAUUCAUGAAGAGGUACAGAUUUUUACACAUAGAUGAGCAAACAAUUCCCCUAAGGACAAUGACAACAACUUUUGAGAUUGAUAUGAGGCUUCCUCCUUUGUGUCCACGAGCUGCGAGUCAGCCUCUGCCU